rnacentral:rRNA from 1 species
CCUACGGGAGGCUGCAGUGGGGAAUAUUGGACAAUGGGGGGAACCCUGAUCCAGUCAUGCCGCGUGUGUGAAGAAGGCCCUCGGGUUGUAAAGCACUUUCAGUGAGGAAGAACGCCUGGUGGUUAAUACCCAUCAGGAAAGACAUCACUCACAGAAGAAGCACCGGCUAACUCCGUGCCAGCAGCCGCGGUAAUACGGAGGGUGCGAGCGUUAAUCGGAAUUACUGGGCGUAAAGCGCGCGUAGGUGGCUUGAUAAGCCGGUUGUGAAAGCCCCGGGCUCAACCUGGGAACGGCAUCCGGAACUGUCAAGCUAGAGUGCAGGAGAGGAAGGUAGAAUUCCCGGUGUAGCGGUGAAAUGCGUAGAGAUCGGGAGGAAUACCAGUGGCGAAGGCGGCCUUCUGGACUGACACUGACACUGAGGUGCGAAAGCGUGGGUAGCAAACAGGAUUAGAUACCCUGGUAGUC